rnacentral:rRNA from 1 species
CGUAGGGUCCAAGCGUUAUCCGGAAUUACUGGGCGUAAAGCGUACGUAGGCGGGAGUUUAAGUGCAAUGCGAAAUCUUGUGGCUCAACCAUAUAGACUGUAUUGCAUACUGGGCACCUAGAGGACGGCAGAGGCAAGUGGAAUUGGUAGUGUAGCAGUGAAAUGCGUAGAUAUUACCAGGAACACCAAUGGCGAAGGCAGCUUGCUGGGCCGUAUCUGACGCUGAGGUACGAAAGCGUGGGGAGCGAACAGGAUUAGAUACCCUGGCAGUCCACGCCGUAAACGAUGCACACUAAUAGUAUGGGGUAUCGACCCCCUGUGCUGUGAAGCUAACGCGAUAAGUGUGCCGCCUGGGGAGUACGAGCGCAAGCUUA